rnacentral:rRNA from 1 species
AGUCGAACGAUGAUGCCCAGCUUGCUGGGCGGAUUAGUGGCGAACGGGUGAGUAAUACGUGAGUAACCUGCCCUUGACUCUGGGAUAAGCCUGGGAAACUGGGUCUAAUACUGGAUACUACCUCUUGCCGCAUGGUGGGUGGUGGAAAGGGUUUUACUGGUUUUGGAUGGGCUCACGGCCUAUCAGCUUGUUGGUGGGGUAAUGGCUCACCAAGGCGACGACGGGUAGCCGGCCUGAGAGGGUGACCGGCCACACUGGGACUGAGACACGGCCCAGACUCCUACGGGAGGCAGCAGUGGGGAAUAUUGCACAAUGGGCGGAAGCCUGAUGCAGCGACGCCGCGUGAGGGAUGACGGCCUUCGGGUUGUAAACCUCUUUCAGUAGGGAAGAAGCGAGAGUGACGGUACCUGCAGAAGAAGCGCCGGCUAACUACGUGCCAGCAGCCGCGGUAAUACGUAGGGCGCAAGCGUUGUCCGGAAUUAUUGGGCGUAAAGAGCUCGUAGGCGGUUUGUCGCGUCUGCUGUGAAAGCCCGGGGCUCAACCCCGGGUCUGCAGUGGGUACGGGCAGACUAGAGUGCAGUAGGGGAGACUGGAAUUCCUGGUGUAGCGGUGAAAUGCGCAGAUAUCAGGAGGAACACCGAUGGCGAAGGCAGGUCUCUGGGCUGUUACUGACGCUGAGGAGCGAAAGCAUGGGGAGCGAACAGGAUUAGAUACCCUGGUAGUCCAUGCCGUAAACGUUGGGCACUAGGUGUGGGGGACAUUCCACGUUUUCCGCGCCGUAGCUAACGCAUUAAGUGCCCCGCCUGGGGAGUACGGCCGCAAGGCUAAAACUCAAAGGAAUUGACGGGGGGCCCGCACAAGCGGCGGAGCAUGCGGAUUAAUUCGAUGCAACGCGAAGAACCUUACCAAGGCUUGACAUUCACCGGACCGCCCCAGAGAUGGGGUUUCCCUUCGGGGCUGGUGGACAGGUGGUGCAUGGUUGUCGUCAGCUCGUGUCGUGAGAUGUUGGGUUAAGUCCCGCAACGAGCGCAACCCUCGUUCUAUGUUGCCAGCACGUGAUGGUGGGGACUCAUAGGAGACUGCCGGGGUCAACUCGGAGGAAGGUGGGGAUGACGUCAAAUCAUCAUGCCCCUUAUGUCUUGGGCUUCACGCAUGCUACAAUGGCCGGUACAAAGGGUUGCGAUACUGUGAGGUGGAGCUAAUCCCAAAAAGCCGGUCUCAGUUCGGAUUGAGGUCUGCAACUCGACCUCAUGAAGUCGGAGUCGCUAGUAAUCGCAGAUCAGCAACGCUGCGGUGAAUACGUUCCCGGGCCUUGUACACACCGCCCGUCAAGUCACGAAAGUUGGUAACACCCGAAGCCGGUGGCCUAACCCCUUGUGGGAGGGAGCCGUCGAAGGUGGGACUGG